rnacentral:tRNA from 1 species
GGCCCUUUAGCUCAGUGGUUAGAGCAGGCGGCUCAUAACUGCCUGGUCGCUGGUUCAAGUCCAGCAAGGGCCACCA